GCCGGGGUGGCCGAGCGGCCCAAGGCGCGGGACUCGAGAUCCCGUCCCCGUCCAGGGGGCGUGGGUUCAAAUCCCACCCCCGGCGCCA
rnacentral:tRNA from 2 species